rnacentral:rRNA from 1 species
CCUACGGGAGGCAGCAGUGAGGAAUAUUGGUCAAUGGGCGGAAGCCUGAACCAGCCAAGUAGCGUGCAGGAUGACGGCCCUACGGGUUGUAAACUGCUUUUAUACGGGAAUAACGCGCCUUACGUGUAGGGCUUUGCAUGUACCGUAUGAAUCAGGACCGGCUAAUUCCGUGCCAGCAGCCGCGGUAAUACGGGAGGUCCGGGCGUUAUCCGGAUGUAUUGGGUUUAAAGGGAGCGUAGGCCGCAUGUCAAGCGUGCUGUGAAAUGUCAGGGCUCAACCCGGGCCUUGAAGCGCGAACUGGCGAGCUAGAGUCCGCGGAAGGCAGGCGGAAUUCGUCGUGUAGCGGUGAAAUGCUUAGAUAUGACGAAGAACACCGAUUGCGAAGGCAGCUUGCUGCAGCGGAACUGACGCUGAUGCUCGAAAGCGCGGGGAGCGAACAGGAUUAGAUACCCCUGUAGUC